rnacentral:rRNA from 1 species
CCUACGUGAGGCAGCAGUGGGGAAUAUUGCGCAAUGGGCGAAAGCCUGACGCAGCGACGCCGCGUGAGGGAUGAAGGUCUUCGGAUCGUAAACCUCUGUCAGCAGGGAAGAACGGUCACUGUGCUAAUCAGCAGUGAAUUGACGGUACCUGCAAAGGAAGCACCGGCUAACUCCGUGCCAGCAGCCGCGGUAAUACGGAGGGUGCGAGCGUUAAUCGGAAUUACUGGGCGUAAAGCGCUCGUAGGCGGUAUGUCAAGUCAAGGGUGAAAUCCCCGCGCUCAACGUGGGAACUGCCUUUGAAACUGGCAAACUGGAGUGUGUGAGAGGAUAGUGGAAUUCCAGGUGGAGGAGUGAAAUCCGUAGAUAUCUGGAGGAACAUCAGUGGCGAAGGCGACUAUCUGGCACAUAACUGACGCUGAGGAGCGAAAGCGUGGGUAGCAAACAGGAUUAGAUACCCCAGUAGUC